rnacentral:tRNA from 1 species
GGGGCUAUAGCUCAGCUGGGAGAGCGCCUGCCUUGCACACAGGAGGUCAGCGGUUCGAUCCCGCUUAGCUCCACCA